rnacentral:lncRNA from 13 species
AUUUUACUCUCAUCUUUUGUACCCACAUCUCCGGAAGAGCUGUGUUCAUAAGUGUGGAGGCAAGAAAAGAGCUUUCUGACGAGUCAGAAGCUGGUCAUGGGAAGAAAAUGAGGGCCUCUCCUAGGAAGAAUUGAUUUUUGAUUGCACAAGUGAGGUGAUUGCAAAAACAGCCACGGAUUCUUCCCAUCC